AUGGUCAUCACAAGACGUGGAGUCAUGAUUGGCCGGGUCUGUUACAGUUCUACCCACAACCAACGUCGAGAGGUUAGAUUAGACAAGCGGACUAGAGAUGAUGUUGAGGUUGUUCAUGCUCAGAAGGUGCAUGGUAAAGCUUUUAUUGACCCAAUUGAGGUGGUCGUGGCAGAUGCGGUACAUGUUGAUGAGGUGGCCGAGACAUACGUGACCCCUAUUUCUAGUGAGGUGGUUGAGACGGAUCCCCCUAUUGUUAAAGAGGUGAUUGUCAUAGAUCUGGUCCUUAUUGCUGAUGAGGCUACUGCUACUAAUGAUGAUACAGAG